AGGGGCAUGGCUGCCCCCGACCACCUCGCCGGCGACGCCGGGAGGGGAUAAGGCCUCCAGCGCUCCCGGCUCCUCGUCCCCUCUCCCACUUGCCCCUCGCUCACCACUCCCCUCUCUCACCUUCCAGAUCCACCCCGCUCUCCCUCUGGCUCCCCCCCCACGUUGCCCGACGCCAUCGUCGCCGUUCGACGUCGAUCCCGCAGCCACCGGCUGCCCCGUGCCAAGCUGGCAUGUCCAAGAGCUCCGCCGCAUUCGUCCUCAUCGCCUGGGGCCAGCCGUUGCUGCGGGGGAACACCGCAGGCCCCAGAUCGAACCGGCGUCCGCCUCGGAUCACCGGAGCUCCACCGCUCCGUUCGUCGCCUCCCCUGUGCUACAAAGCCGUCGAGGGCUUUUCUUAGCCGCACG
rnacentral:rRNA from 1 species